rnacentral:lncRNA from 1 species
UUUUCUACUUCCGAAAAGUUUAAAUAAAUAACACACACUCACAAUCACACACCAAUAAGUUAAAAUCCAAAUUACAAAAUACAAACCAUUGCCUUCAAAGGGCUUAACAAAAAAACAACAAAUAACAUUAUCAUAAAACACUUCAAGCCACAAAAAAUAAAUCUUCAUGUGCACAUCAUCUCAAUAAAAAAGCACUUCCAAGAGCAUUGCACUUUGAUUCUUGAAAUUCAUAAUCUAGAAUUAUAACAUAAUAAAUUAAAUCAGAAGAUAUAAAAAUUAAAAAAAUAUAUAUUUAUACCAUACGUUUUCAAUACAUGCAUCACAAAUUCACAAUUUGUGAACUAAUUAUCAUCCGUUGCUAAAUGCAACUUUCCACCAAAUUCUACAAAAUAAAAUAUUAAACAUGUUAGAAUAAAAAUGUGUUAAUUAAUAAAUAAUAAAAUAAAAUGUGUAAGUUUUUAAGAAACGUUACCUAAUUCAAGGUUUUCGUAGGUUUCCAAAUCAUUCAUCAA